rnacentral:rRNA from 1 species
AGUCGAACGAUGAUCCCAGCUUGCUGGGGGAUUAGUGGCGAACGGGUGAGUAACACGUGAGUAACCUGCCCUUGACUCUGGGAUAAGCCUGGGAAACUGGGUCUAAUACCGGAUAUGACUCCUCAUCGCAUGGUGGGGGGUGGAAAGCUUUUGUGGUUUUGGAUGGACUCGCGGCCUAUCAGCUUGUUGGUGGGGUAAUGGCCUACCAAGGCGACGACGGGUAGCCGGCCUGAGAGGGUGACCGGCCACACUGGGACUGAGACACGGCCCAGACUCCUACGGGAGGCAGCAGUGGGGAAUAUUGCACAAUGGGCGCAAGCCUGAUGCAGCGACGCCGCGUGAGGGAUGACGGCCUUCGGGUUGUAAACCUCUUUCAGUAGGGAAGAAGCGAAAGUGACGGUACCUGCAGAAGAAGCGCCGGCUAACUACGUGCCAGCAGCCGCGGUAAUACGUAGGGCGCAAGCGUUAUCCGGAAUUAUUGGGCGUAAAGAGCUCGUAGGCGGUUUGUCGCGUCUGCUGUGAAAGACCGGGGCUCAACUCCGGUUCUGCAGUGGGUACGGGCAGACUAGAGUGCAGUAGGGGAGACUGGAAUUCCUGGUGUAGCGGUG